GGAGCAGGAUCCCCCGUCAGAGCCUGGCCCCACACCGUCCCCUCUGCGAGGGGAAGCAGGGGGACCACGCCAGGAAGAACCCCAUCCCAGACCCGCACUCACCUUCCCUUGAGUCCUUCCAGCUCCUGGGAUCACAGCUCCCUUGGGGGGACAGGCCCGUCCCAGCAGCCACAUUGUGAGGAGGAGGAGGAAGAGGAGGGAGGAGGCAGUGAUGGAUCAGGCGAUGCCGAAGGGCACCGGCUCCUCGGCCGCGGUGGGAGCUCGACGGGGAAGCAGUGAUCCCUGCGGCAUCCGCACGGCAGCCCACGCACGGCACUGCCGGCCGGGGAUGGGGCCGGCUUCGGCUCGGUGUGUCUGAGCUCACCGGGGACCACAGGCUUUCUACCCAGAAACAGGAAGGGCUCACGGGCCCCAGCCAACCCAGAGGAGCCGAGGGGAAACACGACGGUGCGGGGCGUAAAAGCGAGCCCUGCGAAAGUGCUGGCAAGAGGUAUCAGGCUACAUCACCUGCAGUCCCAAAGGACCCUGGAUUGGGCUCAGCCCGAUGUGGUAUCACACCAGCAGAGGACUCACCUGACCACCCCUGCAGAGCUGUACCUGAGCCCAGACAUGGCACAGUCACAGCCUCACCACAGAGAGAGAUGAGGGACCCUCAGAAGCACUGCCAACACCCUGCCAGCAAACACCCAUGAGCCCGACCCGUCUGACUGGGACCUGAGCUGAGUCCCAGGAGCCCACCUGGGCCAUGUCCCAUCCCGCAGCAGCCCAUCUCUCACAGCCUGUUCCAUUCACCUGACUUAUGACAAAUCCCAGCCAGGCAGACUUCCCAGCAGGCAUGUAGAACAUCAAUGGGAUUGCCUCCCCAUCCUGGAGCACCCACCGGAGGAACAGUCCAGCUCUGCAGGAAAGCACAUCCCUGUCCCAAGAAAAACAUACUUCCCUUUGGCUCCGAUCCACAGAAGGAAUCAUAGAAUCAUAGAAUUGUCCAGGUUGGAAGGGACCUUUCAGAUCAUUGAGUUCAACCAUCAACCCAACACUGACAAAACCAUUACUAACCCAUGUCCCUCAUCACCACAUUUGCCCAGCUUUUAAAUACCUCCAGUGAUGGUGAACACCACCACUUCCCUGGGCAUCCACUUCCAAUGCUUGGUAACGCUUUUGUGUAGGAAUUUUUCCCAAUCUCCAUCCUAAACCACCCCUGACACAACUUGA
rnacentral:lncRNA from 1 species